UGCCGGUAUACAGUAGGUAAAACCCAAAUUACCGAUUCUCGUUAUGUAUUAUAUUUUAUAUUAAAAAAAUGUAUAAUUCAAGUGUAUUUUUGUAAUUUCAAUCAAAUUAUAUAGGGUAAUGUUAGCAUUUUAUACAAUAUGUUCGCAAUAUACAUUAAAUUGAAAGUUUUGCAUACAUGUGCAAAACACACAUACAUACGUAUACAAAACCAUGUACACACACCUUUCUACUCUCGACGAAAAUGUAUGUACAUAUACAUCUAAAAAAAAAUAUUUUUAGUGCAUACUACUAAAAUACAUACAUAUAUGUAUAAAAAUACAUAUACUUUUUACAUAUUUAUGUCUAAAUGAAUCAUCGCAUUAUGUGCGAGUUGUAAGUAGUACAUGUAAAUGAAAUUAUUACAGUAUAAAAAAAAGUUUCUUUAGGAAUCGUGCUUACCAUUUUUUUGCUGCAAAAUGUGAGUACUUUUUACCAAAUUCGGAAACCAAUUGCAAUGUAUGUAUACGCUAAAACACAAUUACCGCUUA